UAACAGACACUUUCACGAUCAAAAACCCAAAAGGUGUUAUGUUCCAAAAAAUCAUGGGCAAUAGCCAAUAUCGUUUCUUUUCGUCUCGCUGUUUCAAAGUUCAAACUUUUGUCUUUGGGGUUUUGGAAUUGUUGUAGGCUCUGCCGUACGUUCGUUUAAUUGGGGAAUCGUGGCCUAUGACGAAGGAGAGGGCUUAUUUUGAGUCGCUGACACUGAAAGAAGAGGGUCGUUUGUGCCCUGAGCAUGUCCCUGAAGUGUAUCACUUUGAUCGUACCAUGUCUUUGAUCGUCAUGCGUUACUUAGAACCCCCGCAUAUAAUCCUUAGAAAAGGGUUGAUUGCAGGAACUGAAUACCCUCUUUUAGCUGAGCAUAUGGCUGAUUUCAUGGCAAAGACCCUCUUCUUCACGUCUCUGCUUUUCCGUUCCACCACUGACCACAAACGAGACGGUAUAACCUUACCCUUGUGGAUUUAUUGAGAAGCUAGACAAGGGAACUUCUAAAAAUGUUAGGGUUUACAAAUUUAUCUAACUGCCUCUCUUAAUUCAUUUGAUGUAAUCAAUUGCAUGGUCUCGAUAACUGUUUCCAUUUUAAGGUUUAGUCCCUGUCUGAGAAAAAUAUUAUUUUUAUUUAUACAGUUUUUGUGAAAGCUUAUAUGUGUCAGAAAAUUUGUAUGGUUUUACACCACCAAAAUGACCAGAAGCUAACUUUUAUACUCGAAAUGGAUCUAACCUAUACUGUUUUCUAAUUUGGGAACUAAAACUUUAAACAAAGACAAUAGCGACCAUGUAAAUAGCUCAACCUUCAUUUCAUUUUCUUGUACUAUCAGUGUAUCAUUGUGAAAUUUAUCUAAAUUUGCUCCGAAUGAUAUCCUUUUUUUGUGACUAUAAGGAAGGUCUUACACAUGAUUAUCUACGGAUGUUGCCUUUAAUUGAAUUCAUAUUUGCUUCGUGCAGUUGCCGAAUAUUGUGGGAAUGUGGAGCUAUGCAGGCUUACUGAGCAGGUCGUUUUCUCUGACCCUUACAAAAUUUCUGAACAUAAUCGUUGGACUGCGCCCUAUCUUGAUCGUGAUGCCGAGGCGGUUCGGGAAGACAACCUGCUUAAGCUUGAAGUUGCUGAGCUGAAAUCUAUGUAUUGUGACACGCUUUUCGUACCUAUUAUAUACAGUAGUUUGUUGUUAUAUUUUUGUUAUAAGAAUAAGAAUUUAUGUUCCUAAAGGUUCAUUGAGAGGGCCCAGGCACUAUUACAUGCUGAUUUACACACUUCUUCUGUGAUGGUUACUCGUGAAUCAACUCAAGUUAUUGAUCCAGAAUUUUCAUUUUAUGGACCAAUGGGUUAUGAUGUUGGAGCAUUCUUGGGAAACUUGAUUUUGGCCUUCUUUUCUCAAGACGGGCACGCUGAUCAAACAAAUGAUCGAAAAGUAGGUCAUGUCAUCUGUGAUCCUUACUUGUCCCCUUCUUUGUAUGCUAUAGUUGUUAUUUAGUCACGUAUUUCUUGUUAUUGUCUAUAAUCGAAGUAAAACUUAGACUCUUUCUUUUUUAGUGUCGUGUUUUUUAUUUCACUCUGGUAGUUUUGUUUCAUGGCAGAGGCUGGCUUUCUUUAGAGUCCUACAUAUCAAGGUGUUUGUACCAGAUAUUUCUGAUUUUUGCUGUCUGCGCUUAUUUGUAGUUCUGAAUUUUCUGUAUUGUUCUUUUGUUUUGUCUGUGAGUUGCCAAUGCUGGCGCCUUGUUAUCCUAAGAGUAGGAUUCCUGUGUACUUUUAAUGAGUAAUCAAUCAGAAAUAUACCAUUUACUUGUUUUAGUCCAACACUAGUAACAAGUGAAGACUUGGUUUUGGAAUAGAAUUGUUUCAUUUUUGUGUUCAGCACAUGAUCAUACACUGAGUACUUUUUAGGGGUUCCUUUCUAUGUUUCUUUUCUUUCUCCUAUUUUUUGGACUUUGUUAAAAUUUCUUAUCCUGCAACCUUGUACUUCUAUUGGUGUGUUUGGAUUUCCAUUCAAAAGCAGGAAAUGGACAUGCAAUCCAUGACACCCUGCAUCGUGAUGCAGGGGGCAUAAGAUAAUGAGCAUUGGCAUGUAAACUGUAAUCCUAUAUGAUUGUAGCGGAAAAUGAUUGUUAUGCCUUAUGUAAAAUUCUAUGUUGUGCAGGCCUAUAAGGAGUGGAUUCUUAAGACAAUCGAAGACACUUGGAACCUUUUCCAGCACAAAUUUACUUCACUUUGGGACGAGCACAGGAAUGGUACUGGUGAAGCGUAUCUUCCAGCAAUCUAUAACAAUCCUGAGGUUCAACUCCUUGUACAGAAGAAAUACAUGACAAAUUUGUUUCACGAUAGUCUUGGAUUUGGUGCUGCUAAAAUGAUAAGGUGAGACUUUUUCUCUAAUUUUUUUCCUCUUUCCACAAAAGAUAAUGUGAGAUUGCAGAUAAUAUUUUUACUAGAGAAUGAUAUAUGGAUAUGGAUUUCUUAGCUAUUGUAUAUAGUCAUUAUUGGUCAUAUAAUUAAUAGUUUUGGCAUUUGAAAUGGUCAUUGAUAUAGUAUUAUUUAAAGUAAACUUUAAGUCUAAUUCAAUUUUAUAAAAAUGGUUUUUAAGGUGAACUUUGCAUCACGUACUAUGAAAUGUUCUUAUCUCUAGUCGAUAUAGGAUCUCCGACACAUCCUCCUCAUGCUGAGAUUGUCAACUCGUGCAAGAGAUUAUAUAUUUAUGAAUAGUCUGAUAGCGGGUAGUCUAAUAAACCUAACAAACUCUCGGUACGAUAGACCCUAAAUGAGUAUGAUACCAUAUUAAGAAGUGAACUUUAGUCUAACUAAACCUUAUAAGAUGAGUUUACACUCUUUUAUAUACUAUGAAAUGUUUUUAUCUUUAGUCGAUGUGAAAUCUCCAACAAGUAUAGUAUAGUAUUGUGGUUCCUUUGUUGUUGUAUUACUGAUAAGGUCCUUUGGUUAAGAGUUGACUUGAGUCGAAGCUGCAUCCAUCAUUUAGGUAAAAAGUGAGCUUCUGGCUAUCAAUUGCAUUGCAUGAUAUUGAUUUGAUUGACAGGAGAAUUGUUGGUGUGGCGCAUGUUGAGGAUUUCGAAUCCAUUGCUGAUGCUGCUAAAAGGGCAACUUGUGAACGACGAGCUCUUAAUUUAGCUAAGAUGCUUCUCAAAGAAAGAAGAAAAUUUGAUGGCAUUGCUGAAAUUAUUUCAGCAAUUCGGCAAUACUAGUACACAACCCAAUACCAGCUUUUGCUACAUCAGUAAUACUUCCUAAACGGAUCGUGUUUUCCAACUUUUUUGUUGUUGUGUACCACUAUAUAUGUGUUUCCAUAAACAUUAUGUAUGAAAAAUUAUAUAGAUAUUUUAGGAGAGGUUUUGUCUGAGAUUUUUUUUAUUUUAUUUUCUAUUUCAGGUUUAUUUAGAAUAAGAGAAAACAGUAAAUUAAAACAAAAUAAUAAAAAAUCAUUUUCACUGCUUAUAUAAAUCAUUUUUGAAAAUAUAAAACAAAGGAAUGAAUGAGAUGUUCAUACCCUUAAAUUUUGGUUAAAUAUGUUUUUUUAUUAUAAUAUGAAAAUGAAUUUUGUCUUUAAUCCAAACAUUAGACUAUUUGAGUGUUUUUAAUAUGAAGAUGAUUGAAAUAAAUCAUGUGUAAUUGAUUCAAUUUGAAUGAUUGAAAUAAAUUUUUUGUAUGUGGAAUAGAACUAAUUUGAAGUUUUAUUUUAUCAGUUUAUUGGGAAUAGUUAUAGUGUGUAUCAGUCUACAAUCAAAAUAAUAUCUAAAAAAAAUAACAAUUUUAAAGAAACUAACCAUCAUUUCACAUACUAAAUGACUCAUUAAAAAUCAUUUGUUCUAAUUAUACAUUUUUAUAAGAUUGAAAUUUAUAUUGUAUAUGAUAUAAAUAAUAAAAAAUUUGAUGUUUACAUUUGUUACAAUUAUAUCCUUUUGCAAUUUCCCUCAUAAUUUUCAAAGAUAACAGUACGAUGCUAACACUGAAAUUAAAACUUGUGUGUAUAAGUUUAAAUAUUUUUUACAACAUUUAAAUUAAAUAUAAACAUUACUUUAUCAAAAUGAAAGUAUAUUUUAACCUUUUCUAGGAUCUAAUGAAAGUAUAUGAACGAAAAGGUUUAGGUCUUCAAAUACAUUUUUAUUAGAGAAAUGUUUUGUCUAAGGGGAAUUUCUCAAAAGUUUAAAUGAAUAAUGAUAUCUUGUAUUUUAAUGUGAUUAAGUUUUUUUAGUAUUAAUAUUCGUAGUGGUAAAGUUUUUCGUCCUCUUUUGGUUAGAUGAGAAUUUCCUUCAUCAGACUCGGUUAAAAUUAACACGGAUGGGGCUGUUAGGGGUAUUCUAGUCUUGUUACGUGUGAAAGUAUUUUCCGUAUGAAGGAGUUUAUUGAGUUUUAUGGAGUUAUACAUGCUAUGAGGAAGCUCAAAAGAUGAGGCUUAAUAAUGUCAGACUUAAAUGUGAUUCUGUAUAGGUUUGUGUUUGUUUACUGUUAGGACUAAUGUUGGAUGUGUAUGCUGAUAAGUUGACUAAUUUAGAAUUUAUUCAUAGAGAAUCAUUUUAUUGGUAUAAUAGAUUUUAAUCUAUUAAGUUCUUAGAAUUCAUUAUGUAUAAGCAUACUAUACCUAUGUAUAAUUUUUGUUAACAUAUGAGUUUUGGUCUAGUAUCGUCCUCCCAUAUUUUUAGUAUAUAUUUUUUUAAUAAUAUUUUUUUCAAUGAUAGAUGAUUGUUUUACUUUUUACUUGAAGUGUUAUCCUAACUGAGAUGUUUUAUAUAUUGAUGCAUAAUAUAAAAGCUUUUAUAUAAGCAAGGAAAAAUUCUAUGCCAAAGUUCCAACUAUGACACAAUUAAAUUUAAACUAAAAUAAAAUCUAAACUAAAUUUAAAAAUAAAGAAUGUAAAUAUUUUAUUAUAUCAAAUUUUUAUUUAACUGUACUAAUUCAAUAACAUUAUUUUAUCUUAUGAGUGAAAAUAAAAAAUAAAAUAACUAUUUUAUUUUAAAAAAAUAAAAUUAGGAUUGCACAAUAAACAAGUAAAAUUCAAAAUAAACUGAAAUCUAUAAAAAAAAUUUAAUGGAAAAGUUCAUAAAGCUCACAAAUUGAAAUUUUAUUGAAAGAAUAGACUAGAUUACAAUUAGAAGAAAAUUUCAUUGUACUUUUAGAAAUUAGAUAUUUCAUAUGAUUUUCUUAACUUUAUACAUCCUAUCACAACAUCUUAAACACUUAAAAUGAAAGUCAUGUCUUUGACAAAAAAAAAAUAUUAAAACUCUGUCCAGGUUCAUUGCAUGCCAUUUUCCUUUUCUAUAACAAAAGUCUUUCAAUCACUCCUUACCUUUUUCUUUAUUUCACUCGUCCAAUUCCAAAGAAGAAAAAAAAUGUAUUCGAAUAAUUACUAAAAGUUAAAUAAUUUAUAAUUUAUUGUAAAUUAUAUUCUUUUAAUGACAUUCAAUCAAUGUUUUGAAUAAGUAUUUGAAGAGUAAAAAUGAUUACAACACAUUUUUUGAUUAAAAUAUAUGAUAGUUAAAUUUCUCAAAAAAAGAUGACAGUGGAUAUAGUCUCAGGAGAAUCAAAUGAAAUUGGUGUGAAAAAAAUCUCAGUUUCAGUUUCUAGCGUGCUUCCUCCAAACAAAGAAUAGUAAGACGCACUUCAAAGAUUCCAUCCAUUUGGGAGUUGAGAGAGUACCAUUGCUCCACUCCCUCCUUCCCACCAUCGCCGGCCACCAUGGCUUUCUCCGAGUUCCGACCGCUCAACGAGAAGUCCCUCAUCGAAUACAUAAAGUCCGUUCCUGCUCUCUCCUCCAAACUCGCCAACAAUUUUGAUGACUUAUCAGUUAAAGAAGUUGGAGAUGGUAACCUUAACUUCGUCUACAUUGUUUCCAACUCUGCAGGUUCUUUUGUCAUCAAACAGGUAACAGGCACUUUCACGAUCCAAAACCCAAAGGGUCUUAUGCUCCAAAAAAUCAUGGGCAAUAGCCAAUUUCGUUUCUUUUCGUCUCGCUGCUUCAAAGCUCAAACUUUUGUCUCUGGGGUUUUGGAAUUGUUGUAGGCUCUGCCGUACGUUCGUUGCAUUGGGGAGUCGUGGCCUAUGACGAAGGAGAGGGCUUAUUUUGAGUCGCUGACACUGAAAGAAGAGGGUCGUUUGUGCCCUGAGCAUGUCCCUGAAGUGUAUCACUUUGAUCGUACCAUGUCUUUGAUCGCCAUGCGUUACUUAGAACCCCCGCAUAUAAUCCUUAGAAAAGGGUUGAUUGCAGGAACUGAAUACCCUCUUUUAGCUGAGCAUAUGGCUGAUUUCAUGGCAAAGACCCUCUUCUUCACGUCUCUGCUUUUCCGUUCCACCACUGACCACAAACGAGACGGUAUAACCUUACCCUUGUGGAUUUAUUGAGAAGCUAGACAAGGGAACUUCUAAAAAUGUUAGGGUUUACAAAUUUAUCUAACUGCCUCUCUUAAUUCAUUUGAUGUAAUCAAUUGCAUGGUCUCGAUAACUGUUUCCAUUUUAAGGUUUAGUCCGUGUAUGAGAAAAAUACUAUUUUUAUUUAUACAGUUUUUGUGAAAGCUUAUAUGUGUCAGAAAAUUUGUAGGUUUUACACCACCAAAAUGACCAAAGCUAACUUUUAUACUCGAAAUGGAUCUAACCUAUACUGUUUUCUAAUUUGGGAACUAAAACUUUAAACAAAGACAAUAGCGACCAUGUAAAUAGCUCAACCUUCAUUUCAUUUUCUUGUACUAUCAGUGUAUCAUUGUGAAAUUUAUCUAAAUUUGCUCCAAAUGAUAUCCUCUUUUUGUGACUAUAAGGAAGGUCUUACACAUGAUUAUCUACGGAUGUUACCUUUAAUUGAAUUCAUAUUUGCUUCGUGCAGUUGCCGAAUUUUGUGGGAAUGUGGAGCUAUGCAGGCUUACUGAGCAGGUCGUUUUCUCUGACCCUUACAAAAUUUCUGAAUAUAAUCGUUGGACUGCGCCCUAUCUUGAUCGUGAUGCAGAGGCUGUUCGGGAAGACAACCUGCUGAAGCUUGAAGUUGCUGAGCUGAAAUCUGUGUAUUGUGACACACUUUUCGUACCCAUUAUAGACAAUAGUUUUGUUGUUAUAUUUUUGUUAUAAGAAUAAGAAUUUAUGUUCCUAUAGGUUCAUUGAGAGGGCCCAGGCACUAUUACAUGGUGAUCUACACACUGGUUCUGUGAUGGUUACUCGUGAAUCAACUCAAGUUAUUGAUCCAGAAUUUUCAUUUUAUGGACCAAUGGGUUUUGAUGUUGGAGCAUUCUUGGGAAACUUGAUUUUGGCUUUCUUUGCUCAAGACGGGCACGCUGAUCAAACAAAUGAUCGAAAAGUAGGUCAUGUCUUCUGUGAUCCUUACUUGUGCUCUUCUUUGUAUGCUAUAGUUGUUAUUUAGUCACAUAUUUCUUGUUAUUGUCCAUAAUCUACGUAAAACUUAGACUCUUUCUUUUCUAGUGCUGUAUUUUUUAUUUCACUCUGUAGUUUUGUUUCAUGGCAGAGGCUGGUUUUCUUUAGAGUCCUACGUAUUUUUAGAUAUAUCAAGCGUUUGUACCAGAUAUUUCUGAUUUUGCUGUCUCUGCUUAUUUGUAGUUCUGAAUUUCCUGUACUGUUCUUUUGUUUUGUCUGUGAGUUGCCAAUGACUGGCGCCUUGUUAUCCUAAGAGUAGGAUUCCUGUGUAGUUUUAGUAAGUAAUCAAUCAGAAAUAUACCAGGUACUUGUUUUAGUCCAACACUAGUAACAAGUGAAGACUUGGUUUUGGGAUAGAAUUGUUUCAUUUUUGUGUUCAGCACAUGAUCUUAAACUGAGUACUUUUUAGGGGUUCCUUUCUAUGUUUCUUUUCUUUCUCCUGUUGUUUGGACUUUGUUGAAAUUUCUUAUCCUCCAACCUUGUACUUCUAUUGGUGUGUUUGGAUUUCCAUUCAAAAGCAGGAAAUGGACAUUCAAUCCAUGACACCAUGCCCAUGCCUUGACUUGAAUAUGCUUUGAAAUUUGUGCUAAUUAUAAUUCAAACACUCAUUGUUAGCUGAAGUAGCAUUGUUUUGUUUAUCAACUGUUGUAUCUUCAUCUCAUUUGGCUGGCCUUUUAUAUUCCAUCGAGUUACUGCAUCACGAUGCAGGGUGCAUAAAAUAAUGAGCUUUGGCAUUUAAACUGUAAUUCUAAAUAGUUGCCGAAGACCAUUGAUUGUUAUUCCUUACGUAAAAUUCUAUGUUGUGCAGGCCUAUAAGGAGUGGAUUCUUAAGACAAUCGAAGACACUUGGAACCUUUUCCAGCACAAAUUCACUUCACUUUGGGAUGAGCACAGGAAUGGUGCUGGUGAAGCGUAUCUUCCAGCAAUCUAUAACAAUCCCGAGGUUCAACUCCUUGUACAGAAGAAAUACAUGACAAAUUUGUUUCACGAUAGUCUUGGAUUUGGUGCUGCUAAAAUGAUAAGGUGAGACUUUUUCUCUAAUUUUUUUGCUCUUUCCAUAAAAGAUAAUGUGAGACUGCAGAUAAUAUUUUUACUAGAGAAUGAUAUAUGUAUCUGGAUUUCUUGUUUAUGUUAGCUAUUGUGUACAGCCAUUAUUGGUCACAUAAUUAAUAACUUCAGCAUUUGAAAUGGUUAUUGAUAUAGUAUUAUUAAGAUGUGAACUUUAAACCUAAUUUACCCUUAUAAAAGGUUUACACCCACUUAGUCUUUAUCUCUAGUACAACACAUCCUUCUCACUUUAGGAUAGACUCUAAAUGACUCUCUGAUAUCAUGUUGUGAAGUAAACUUUAAAUCUAAUUCAUCCUUAUAAAAUCGGUUUAUAAGGUGAGGUUUGCACUCACUUAUAUUCUAUAAAAUGUUCUUAUCUCUAAUUGACGUGGAAUUUCCAAAAAAUAUAGCAUUGUGGUUACAGUUUUAUGGUUUUAGUGACCCCACCAAAUGAAUAAGGUUGUUGUAUUACUGAUAAGGUCCUUUGGUUAAGAGUUCAUUUGAGUCGAAGCUGCAUCCAUCACUUAGGUAAAAAGUGAGCUUAUGGCUAACAAGGGCAUUGCAUGAUAUUGAUUUGAUUGACAGGAGAAUUGUUGGUGUGGCGCAUGUUGAGGAUUUCGAAUCCAUUGCUGAUGCUGCUAAAAGGGCAACUUGUGAACGGCGAGCUCUUGAUUUAGCUAAGAUGCUUCUCAAAGAAAGAAGAAAAUUUGAAGGCAUUGCUGAAAUUAUUUCAGCAAUUCGGGAAUACUAAUACACAACCCAAUACCAGCUUUUGCUACCUCAAUAAUACUUCCUUAAUGGAUCGUGUUUUCCAACGUUUUUUUUUUUGGUUGUGUACCACUAUAUACGUGUUUCCAAAAACAUUAUGUACGAAAAAUUAUAUAAAUUUUUAAGGAGAGGUUUUGUCUGAUAUUUUUUAUUUCAGGUUUAUAUAGAAUAAGAGAAAACAGUAAAUUACAAAAUAAUAAAAAAUCAUUUUCACUGCUUAUAUAAAUCAUUUUUGAAAAUAUAAAAUAAAGGAAAGAAUGAGAUGUCCAUACCCUUAACUUAAUUUUCGAUUUUGCUCCAGUUGUACAUUUUUAUAAGAUUGAAAUUGAUACUGUAUACGAUUUAAAUAAAAAAAAUUGAUGUUUAUAUCCUUUUGUCAUUUUCCUCUUAAUUUUCAAGGACAACAGUAUGAUACUAACUCUGAAAUUAAAACUCGUGUAUAUAAGUUUAAAUGGUUUUUACAACAUUUAAAUUAAAUAUAAACAUUACUUUGUUAACCUUUUUCAGGAUUUGCGUGUCUUGAUAUGAACGAAAAGGUUUAGGUCUUCGAAGACAUUGUUAUUAGAGAAAUGUUUGUAAUAUAUUUAAGUAAGGAAGAAUCAUUGUUUCUUCACAUUUGGUGUUUGCAUCAAUUUCAGCCUAUGCUCAGGUUCCAGCUAAGACACUAUUAAAAUUAAAUAAAUAAAACCCAAAUUAAAUUUUAAGAAUAAAGAUAAUAAAUAUUUCAUUCUAUCAAAAUUUUAUUUAACUGUGUUAAUUACUAAUUCAAUAACAUUUAUUUUAUUUCAUGAGUGAAAAUAAAAAUAAAAUAACUAUUUUAUUUUUAAAAAUAAAUAAAUUAAGAUUGCACGAUAAAUAGGUAAAAUUCAAAAUAAACUGAAAUCUAUAAAAAAAAAAUUAAUGGGAAAGUUCAUAAAGCUAUAUUACAAUUAGAAGAAAACUUUAUUGUAUUUUUAGAAAUUAGAUAUUUCAAUGAUUUUCUUAAAUUUAUUCAUAUAUACAUCACAACAUUUAUAUAUAUUCAUUAUUUACACUUAUUAUUUAACAAAUUUAUUAUUUACAAAAUAUCACACAUAUCUCAUGUUAUUUAAUAUAUAACAUCCUUAAACAUUUUUAUUUAAUUAUAUGUACAGAUACAUGGUAUUUUUCAAUGGUUAAACACCUUAGUUAUAUAAUAAAUAAGAUUUUAAAACACAAACGAAAUUAAUUUUUUUUGAGUGAGUCCAUAAAGACUUAUUUGUGACAUAUUACGCAAGUUCUUAGAACAGGAAAUUCUCGAGAAUUUUCAAGGAUGAGAAUUAACAAGUUACUCUAAAAAGAGUAAGAUGAAAAUGUAAGAGAAAGUGUGAGCGUGAGAUGCGAAAGAUGAAGAGAAAGUGAAGAUGUGUGAGUGAAGUGGAUGAAACCUCUCUUUAUACAGAGAGAGGAACCAGACAAUUUGUCGUUGCAUCUUCACAACCAAUUUGACAUUUUCUUCGGCCGAAAAGAUUCCGCAAGACCAACUUCACAACUGGAGCAACAAAAGCGAAUUCCAGCGGACCAAUCUCCACUACACUUCCAAAAUCUCCUCCAACAAACACCGAAAAAAGCUAGAAUUUUUCUUCUCACACUCUAUUUUUAUUUUGCAAUAUUUAUUCAUAUCUUCAUACUAAUUUUACAAGUUAUACAACAAAAUUUACUUGCAUCAACUUCAAACGUUAUUUAUAUUUUUUGUUCAUAUUUAUAUCAGUCAAAUAAUAUAACACUAAUUAUAAUCCUUUAAAUUAUAUUCUUUUUAUUUUUAUUUUACUGAAUCAAUUUAAUAUUUUACAUCAUGAUAUAAAAUUAAAAAAUAUCAAGAGGUCAGUAUCACUAAGCUAAUUGGCAAAUUAAUAAAUUGAAAAACUCAACUCAACCUACUAAAUUGACCACGAAGCAACUUGCUUUAUAAAAAAAAGUAUAAUUUCAUAAAUUUAAAAUUUCAUCGUAACAGUAUAAUUCAUAUAUAAUUUUUUUUAUUAACAAUACAAAUUUAUAAAUAAAAAUAAACCACAAAACUUAUAUAUAUAUAUAUAUAUUUAUUUAUGGUGAACAUAAAUCAAUCCAAUUUAUUCAUCCUUUUGAUCGGAUUGGCCCAUUUGGUUUGAAUUCCACAACUAUUCACAAUUAAAACAAAUUUAUCAAAUCCACCUGUGUGUAUAUAUAUAAAUAUAAAUUUAUCAAAUCGAAAAAUAAAUUUAAAAUUAAAGCACGAUUAUGUUAUGCUUAAAAACAUAAAAUGAAAGAUCCAUUAUCUUAUAUUAAGUAAGCACCUAAAAAUAUAUUAUUAUUUGGUUAUCAUUAAUCUAAUUAGCCAGAAUUUUUAUAAUAAAUUUCGAGUUUAACUAUGUUUUUAAUUCUUUUUAAUUCGGAUUUUUUUGCUUCUUCUAAAUUUAAAAGUGUUUUCUCUCUCUUUGAUUUCAAAAAAUGUUGUUUUAAUCUCUUGUUAUUAUCAUUAGAGGUAUUAUUAAUGUAGCUAAUGAAGCUUGCAUGUUAAGUGUAAUUAAUUUAGUAAUGAUUACUUAUUUUUUUUUAUCUACAUAUUGUGUCAAAUAUUUUCUCUCUCCAAAAUUUGAAAGUAUUUUUUUUCAGUUUCUAAAUUUAAAGAAAAAAUAAUCCUUAAAAUAAUUCAUUUUGGUGAUCAGGGAUAAAUUGUAGAGAGGUUAAAUGAAUUAUUACAAUGACUUUAUGAAUUAAAGAGUGAAAAUAAGUUAGUUUGAGUUAACUUGACCAUCUUUUAUAUAUUAUAUAAGGUCGAAAUCAUUUGUACCACCAAAAUUAUAUAAGUAUAAAAUAUUGACUUGAUCUUAAAUUUACAUGGCUGAAGCGAUCUGGUAAAUAUUAUCGAAAACAUGUUAAAAAUUUGAAGCAAUAAAUUAUUAAAUAUGAGAUUAACUACUAAUAAAACAUGUUACAUCAUGAGAUUUAAAAGUUAUGUUUAUAUUAAUUACGAUUCUAUAAAUAAAUUUACAUUAAAAAAAACUCAGUUAGUAUUACAAAUUGAACUUUAAGCCUAAUUCAAUUCCAUAAAACCAGUUAAUGAAAUGAGGUUUGCACGCAUUUAUAUACAAUGAAAUAUUCUCAUCUCUAGUCGAUGUGGAAUCUCCAACACACCACCUCAUGCCGAGAGUAACAGCUCGUGCGUGGGACAACAUAUUAUGGGUGAUCCGAUAACGGUUCGAUAGCGGGUGGCACAAUAAGCCCAACAAACACUCGCUAGAAUAGACUUUAAAUGACUUUGAUACCAUAUUACAAAGUGAACUUUAAGCCUAACUCAACCCCAUAAAACUGGCUCAUGAGGUGAUAUUUGCACCCACAAUAAAAUAUUUUUAUCUCUAGUCGAGAUCUCCAACAUUUAGAUUAAUAAUAAUGAUAAAAAAGAAAAAUAGAAAAUAUAGCAAUGGUGUUUGUAGAUAUGAAACGCGUGGUUGACGUGUGUAGACUGUGAAUAGGAAGUCUUCUCUUAGUGGUCUUGGUCUUUGCAGUAUUGAAAAGUAUUAUAAUGCAAAAGAGAAAACUUGCAUUGCAAAAUUCUACAAUAUAGGAUCCCUUCCCAUUCCUUCACGCAAAACCUUAUUUUUAUGUGAGUAAAACAAUUGAUGACUCACAAAAUAAAACUAUUUUUUUAUUUUUUUUUCUCUUCCUUUCGUCUCUUAUUCACUUCUCAUUCUAAACAAAAGUUGGCGUGUAUAAAUUGACUUUAUAUAUAGAUAAAAAAUGCCAAUUUAUUUCAUUCUUUUAUUUAUUAUAAACAUUGCUGAAAAAAAAGCUCAACAUAUAAUCUUGUAAAGGAAAUGCUUUGUUUUCAACAGGUGAGAUAUAUGUUAAAAGAAAAUUUAGUUAUAAACUACGGAAUAAAUUAAAAGUAUAUAUCAUCAAUUAAAAAAUAAGCUAAAAAACGAUUACAAGUUAUAAUUUUAAUUAAGAAUUGUACAUUUUUUUAUCAAUAAAUAUAAGUUUUAAGAAGCAAAGGACAUGCAUGGUCUUGGUGGUUGGUUUGAGUGAAAAGUAUAGAGAAGCUACUGGUCGUUCACGCCAUUGACUUCUUUUUAAAUGCAUGUUUGUUUCCUUAACCACAUUUUGAAUAUUCCAAGUAAUUGUCGUAUGAUCUAUAGUCCAAUCUAGUGAGAAGUGUCAAAGACAGAAAACAUCUUCCAUAAAUAGUUUAAAAUGUAACUAGAACAAUGAAAGUUUAUAUAUAUUUUUCUUGUUUAAUCUACUAUAAAGAAAAAUAUGAAAUAAAAAUCAAUUUUAAAAACUAACAAAAAUUAGUUGUUAUAAUAACUAAAUUACAGAACAUUUUAAAAACUAAAAAAAAAAAAAAUUAAAUUAGUUUCUAUUAUUGUCAAAUGGUUUCUAAAUUAGUAUCUAAUUUGGUAGCAAAAAUCUUGGUUGCUAAUUAGAUACCAAUUUAGAAACCAUUUAACAAUGAUAGAAACUAAUUUAGAAACCAAUUUUUUUUUAAUCUCUAAAAUGUUCUUUAAUUUAGUCACUAUAGCAACUAAUUAUUUUUUGUUACUAAAAAUUAAUUUAUAUUUCAUGAUUUUCUUGUAGUGAAUCCGUCUUUUAAAGCACAAAACUAUAACGGGGUACUGAGUUUCGAGUUUAAAAAAAAAAUAUUGGAUACGGUAAUUGAUCUUAGUGAUACUAUCUUCAAAGAUUUGAAGUCCAAAAUAUUUAUGAAAAUAAAUAAACAAUUAUUAGGAGGAUUUAACAUUUUUUUUAGAUUAUAAUAUCUAAGUAAUUAAGAUUAAGGAUGAAAAAAAAUUGAAGUAACAAAAUAUAUAUUCGUUAAACCUUUCAUUAAGAAUUUUGCAUCUUCAAAAAAAGAAACUCGAGCAUAGAUAAAUUGGUCCAGCUACGUCUUUCCAUAUAAGAAAAUCAAUCUGGUGCAUUAUGGCUUUGUAUUAUCUUAUAUAUUUUCUACAUGCCUCUGCUAAUAAAAAUCAUCAAUAAAAAUAUAGAAUAGCUCGUAAUUAUUUAUAUCUUCUAAACGUAUCUUCUCUUUAACUUGUCUGUGAUCUGCAUAAUCAUUUUAAACAUUUGACCAAUCAGAAUCAGUCACAACAACAUAACUCACAACAGAUGAAACAUAACUCACGACAAGUAAUAAAAACCGACAAAGAGGUUGCGACAUAGUCGCUUAUUUUUGAAUGACCAAGUUCUUAACCAUUGUUCUAGGGUAUAUUCCCAUACUUAGCCUUGUAUUCUUGCCAAAGCUGAUCCACUGUCUUCCCCAAUAGCUGAACAAAUAAUUCAUCACUAUAACCACUUCUCAUCUGCUGGUUCAGUUGUGCCACAAACCCACUCUUCAGACUAUCACAGUAAUCAAGAAAAUGAGCUGUAACAUCAUAGCCCUGGUCCCAUUUUUGUCCCUCCCCUGGUUUUUUCCAGUGGCUAGGUGCAUAGUUUGCCUUCAGCCUUACAUAGUCUGCAAUUCCUUCAAUUACUCCAGUAGGACCACUCCACUGCCAAACAUGGACCAUUUCAUGGUACAGCACCCCUGUGAUCUCUAUUCUCACAUCCCCGCUAUAGCCAUUAACGUAUCUUGCACUCACAUGAAUCUCAUCGUUGCUGGUAUAUGCAACCCCGUCCAUGUCAUCCACGAAUAAACUCACCUUCUCCACGCUUUUUCUAUCAGCAGGAGAGUUUUGCUGGAAGAUCCCCCAUAUGAAUUGGGUGGCUGAGUCCAGUGUUUGCUUGGUGUAUUCUUCUCCUAUUUCGUCACGGAAACGCACGCCACCAGGGGUUGAGAGGGCGUUGUUGGUGAAACUGUAUUCCACUGCUUCUGUUCCUUGCAUUGCAGCUAGGAACAAUAAGAAGCAGACAACAUACAUUGUCAUGGUUGGUUUUAGAGACACUUUUGGUUUCUCUUGGAGAAUCAGUGUGGGUUGGUUAUUGCAAAACCAUAGUGUUGGAUGAUUUAUAUAGCAAAAAGCCAAGGGAAAAGUGGUCGUUCCACGCCAUUGACGUUGUUUUUAGUGUUUGUAUCGUUUGACGUAAUCCAAUAAGAAGGAGCAUGGAGAGGCGACAUAAUCUAUACAAUACUUUCUUUCUUCUUUCCUUUUGGAAUGUAAAUAGUGUUUCAAUAAUAAAAGUAGGAGGAGGAAGUUUCCUCUGCAUUAAUUAAUGAUUUAUGAUUAAUCAACUGUUUUUUUAUACUUUGGUGGACUCUUUAUUUUAAUCGUUAUACCUCAAAAGUACCAGAAUGUAAAAAUAUGAAGACUAAAAUAUAAAAACUAAAAUGUAAUAAAUGCAAGUAUAAAAAUUAAAUGAUUAGUUAUAAAUCUAACAAAAAUCAAGGCUAUGUUUGCUCACAAAACAAAAUUAUUUUAUUUUUUGUUUAUGUUCAAAUAUAAAAAUAUUAUAUUAUUUUCUUUUCUAAAAUUUAUAUGUUAGAAAAAAUUAUCACCAUAAGUUGCAAGAUUUGUGAUUGUAGUGAUCACCGGUUUUUAAAAUAACUAUAAAAAAAAAUGUAUGCUUUAUUUGUUUUUCUAUUGAACAUUUUUUAAGAAAAGAGAAAACAUUUUUUUUAAAAGUAUUUUCUAAAGUCUAUUCAUUUAUAUAUAUAUAUAUAUAUAUUAUAUUUAAGUUAUAUUUUAAAAUACUAAAUAAUUUAUAUAAUAUGUUGGAUUACUACCUAAAAGUUGAUAGAGAAAAUUAUGUCAAUAUAUCACUUUCGCCUCCAUCAACGCUGCAAUCCUGAUUCAAACACAAACAGUGUUAUAAAAAAAAAAGUUAGAUACUAACUUUAAAAUUAAGUUAUUAAUAAUAAAAACUACUUUAAAUAAUAAUAAUUUUUAAUUUAUAAUAUUUAAUUUAGUUUCUAAAUUUAGUUAUUUAAUGAUUUUUUUUUUAAUUUUUAGGUAAAAUUUUAUUUGUUUAAAAAAUUAUAUUUUUUUAUUUUUAUGGAAAUUUUAAUUUUUCAUAUAAAAAAUUAAAAUAAUAUAUAUAAUAAAAUCAUGCAUAAAUAUAUAUAGCAAUUAUUUAAUUAAUAUCUACUAAUACAAUUUAAUUUUAGUCUGUACCUUACAAAAUCAAUGUGUAAAAUAUUGAUAUUAUGGUUUGGGGUGUUUAUAAGUGUUGGUCAAAUGUAAUAACUUGAAUUUGAGUUAUUUGAGAAAUUUAGAUGCCAUUUGGAACCACAUGAUAUUUUGUUUUGGAGUUUAGGGGUUCAGAGUUUGUGUGCCAUUUGGCACAGUAACUUGUGGUCAGAAAACAUAGAUCUUGCUGGUUUCCAUAAAUAGGGAAGACAAACCUAAUAGAUAAGAUCUUAUGAUAAAUAUUUUAGAAGAUGGUUGAUACGUUCACAAUUUUAUAGCAACUGUUUUUUUUAUUAAGAUGAAAUAAUUUUAAAAUUACAUUUUUUUAUUUUUUAUUUUUUUAAUCAGCAAUAAAGAUUUAAUAAAUAGAAGUACUAGGGGUACUCCAACCCAUGUACAAAAUUUCUUAUGCUAGAGAAAUGAGGUUUCCAGAUAACAUGCCUAAACAUAGACAUAUUCUACAUAUAUAUCUGCUAAUCUUAAUUAACCUCUUAAAAACAACAAGAUGUCAAUACAUAAACCAAAUUAGCUAUCAAGGAAUCCUGUAACUUAGUCCAGUUCCAGACUAUAAGCGUAUCAGCUCAAAAGAAAGACUUUGCCUCCUUGCUAUCUACUGCAUUUUCCAAGCAUCCAUUAUGAUUAUAGUUGUACCCCAAGGGUAUUCCUCUCCUGCAAAUCAAGAAUCCAACCAAAAGCAAAGAAAUGACGUUAAUCAUCAAUGUAGUGAUUUUAAACAUUCAUAUACAUUAAUACACCAAUCAAAAUAAGAAAAAUUUGACUUUGAAAAUUUAUAACUUAUCAUGUCCAAUUUUAAAAUUACAUUAACCAUAUCACAAUUUUAAACUCAAUAAUUGUCAAAUUAAUAUUAUAUAUAUAAGAAACCUCACAAUUUUAUUUUUCUUUCCAUCUGGCUCUCUCUCAUUUCAUCAGUGAGGUCAAGAAUGGGAAUUGAUAUAAGUGAGGUGAAGCUUUUUUCUGGAAAUAAUAAUUAAUUAUUUGAAAAUUUCAAUGCUCAAUAAUAAAUUUCAAUACAUCAAAUAAAAAAAUUUAUUUAUAAAAUAAGCAUAUCUUAAACUCUUCCAACUUUAAUCUAAACAUACACGCAUUUAUUAAACUUGCAGGCAUGCCUCACAGUGACUUAGAGGUAUUAGGAUUUAUAGUAUGCUUUUAUACUAAAUUUAGGUUUUUGUCAGACUUUUUAUUAUUAAAGAACUAUCAUAUCUCCCCACAUUUUAUUUUAUAUUUAAUUUCCACAUUUUAGUUGGAGUGUAUUAGCAACCUACCUUUAAAAUUUAAGAAAAAAAAUUUCAUUAUUAGAUCAUUAUAUAUAAUAUCUUAUCACAGAUUAUACAUAACUUGUGCGAAUUUUUUAAAAAAAUCUAUUACGAAGUGAACUUUAAGUCUAACUCAAUCCCAUAAAACCGACUCAUGAGAUUGAGAUUUGCACCCACUUAUAUACAAUGAAAGGCUUUAAUCUCUAGUCGAUGUGAGAUCUCCAACAGAAUCCAAUAAUUUUAUAUCUAAGUUUAUUAUACCUUUUAUUCUGCUUUUAGUAUUAACUUAUUUUAUUUUUUACCUUUCAUCAUCUAUGUUUUCAUUUUUUAUUUUAACACCAUAGUUUCUUGGAUUGAAAAUCAAUUAAGCAUGGUGGAAUGAAGAUUCAACAACCCAAAGAUUUAAUAACUUGUUCUAGCUUGGAUAAAAGUUUCCAUUUAUUCAACAGCAGAUCUAAGAGCUGAUACAAUUUUAUUGAAAAACAUAGUGAUUAGUGAUUUAUUGUUUAAAUUGAAAAGCUCUUAGCUAUAGGUCUCUUGGGCAAUAUUGCCAUACUUGGCCUUAUAGUCUCGCCACAGCUGAUCCACUGGUUUUCCCAGUAACUGAACAAAGUAUUGAUCACUGUAACCACUCCUCGACAACUUAUUCAAUUGUGCCACAAACCCACUUCUGAGACUUUCACAAUAGUCCAAAAAACGAGCAGUAACAUCAUAACCCUGGUCCCAUUUCUGACCUUGCCCCGGUUUGACCCAGUGGCUAGGUGCAUAGUUUGCCUUCAGCCUCACGUAAUCUGCUAUGCCUUCAAUUAGCCCCCCAGGAACACGACCAUUUCCAUUCCACUGCCAAACGUGGACCAUUUCAUGAUACAGCACCCCUGAAAUCUCUUUCUUCACAUCCCCAUUGUACUUUCCAACAUAUCUUGCACUCAAAUGGAUCUGAUCUCCGCUAGUGUAUGCAACUCCAUCCAUGUCAUCUACGAAUAAACUUACCCUCUGCACGUUUUUUCUGUCGGCGGGGUUGCUUUGCUGAAGGAUCCUCCAUAUGAACUGGGUGGCAGAGUCAAGUGUUUGCUUCGCGUAUUGUUCUCCUAUUUUGUCACGGAAAGCUACACCACCAGAAGUUGUCAGUGCCCUGUUAGUCACAGCGUACUGAACUGCAUGUGUUUGAUGAAAUGCAUGUAAGAAUACUAAAAAGCAAAGAGCCUGUUUGAUCAUGGUUGCGUUUUCAGCCUUAUGGGUUCCUUUGGUGAACAAGUUUAUGGUUUAUCACUGCACAAGGAUUCAGUUUGGUGCUUGCUUUUUAUAGAAAACAAGAGCUCCCUCACUUCCAUGCUUUUCAUUUUUUAUUUUUUAUUUUCAAAGUACGCAACCUAACUUUGAAUUUUCAAAUGGGUGUGUCAUCAUAUUCAAGUCAAUUUUUCUUUUCUUAAAUACUCAAUAGGUAGAGUGGGCCAAACUUGUCAGUAUGGGUCACUUACACUAAUUUUUAGUGUAAAAUAAGUUUUUACUGCAACACAUAGAAGUUUGUUUUUUUAUUUUUUAAAAAUAUUUGUAUUUAAGUGUUUUGACAUAAGAUUUGUUGAAAUAACAUGGUUAAAAUUAAUUAUUAUAUUUUAAAUAUUGUUUGUUUUGAAGAUUGACGAAAUUUGUAAUAAAUUUAAUUUUAAUAAAUUAUUUUUAACUACAAGUUUUAAGAUAGGUGUGACUAUUAAAAAAUAAAAUUACAAUCUUUUAAUAUCAUAAAUAGAUUUAAAAUAAGAUAAAAUCAAAUGAAAAAAUGGAUUAUUUUUACAAAAUUGAGACAAAUUUUUGUCCACAAUUACAAUGGAUCGUUUUUGUAAAAAAAGUUGUUCGAAUAUUACAUAAUUUUAGUUCACAGUAACUAAACAAAAAUUGUGUUACGUCAUUUCUUAACUUUAGAAAGUGAUCUCAUUUUAAUAAUAAGGAACAAGUUUUGGUCAAAAACCCGAAAAAGUGGAUUGCAAUAAAUAGUGCUGAUGUAUUUUUAAUUUUUUCAGCAAAGUUAGUCUUCUUGGAAAUGAAAUUCGGUGAGAAUUGGAUAUUGAAAAUAGUCUGGAGUAUAAUUCGGUGAGAAUUGCAUAUUUUUUUUUUAGAGUAAAUACUCUGGUCUCUUUUUAAUGUAAAAGAAGAGGUUCAUCUAAGAAAGACUCUUCAAUACUUAAGUUAAUAGGAGAACAAAAAUAAUAAGUUCUUAUCAAUAUGAAAAUUAAAAAUAUGAAAUUAGAUAGAUUGUACUUUCUUGAGAGUCAUUUAUAAGCGAAUGGUAUCACUACAAGAAAACUAUGAAAUAAAAACAAUUUUUAAAAAAAAAUAAUAAUUAGUUGUUAUAAUAACUAAAUUAAAAACUAUUUUAAAGAUUAAAAAAAAUUUGGUUUCUAAAUUAGUUUCUAUUAUUGUUAAAUAAUUUUAAAAUUGAUAUUUAAUUAAUAAUUAAGGUUUUUCUACCAAAUUAUUUAGAUUAUAUAUUUGAUUUUGUUUGUUGAACAAGUUGACGGUUGAUCAGUGCAAGGAUUCAGUUAGGUGUUUCCUUUUUAUACAAAACAAGACCUCCCUUACUUCCAUGCUAUUCAUAUUUAUUAAUCUAAUGUGAUAAUGAAACAUUGAUUAAAUCAAAUUUAUUGAAAGAGAGAAAAAAUAACACUGAUUCUAUUCAUAAUUUUUAAUCUAAUGCGAUAAUGAAACAUUGAUUAAAUUAAAUUUAUUGAAAAAGAGAAAAAAUAACACUGAUUUUAAGAUUUUAACAUCAAAAAAACUUAAUUAAGUUAAUAAUAAAAAAAAAUAGAGAAUGGUAGCAGUGGUCUUAUAGAUAAGUGGUUGACGUGUGUAGACUGUGAACAGUAAGUCUUCUUUUAAUGGUCUUGGUCUUCGCAGUACUGGAAAGUAGUAUUAUAAAGUAUUUGUUUUUAAUUUUUAUUUCUAAAAAUUUGAAAUCAAUAUUUUUAAUAUUUAUUUUAAAAUAGAUAAAAAUAAAAUUAUAGUAUAAAUCUUACACAUUCUAACAAGUAAAAUUAUUAACUAAAGAUUCAAAAGCAAAACUCAUUUAUUUUAAAUGAAUUAAAAUAUAUUUAAGUAAUUUUUUUUGACAAAAAUUCACAUUUAUGGUAAUGAGGUCAAUGUUCCCCUUUCCUAAUCAUUUUAUUUUUAAAAAAUAAUAUGUAUGUAUAAUUAUAAUUUAUUCUCAUAACUUAUAAUGUAAAAAGAGAAAUUACACUCUUCUCAUUUCCCACCUAAAUAUUCGUAACAUUUUAUCUCUUCUUUUGCUUGAAAGUGCACUUAUUUAACAUCUCUACGGAAUAAAUUCUCUCUAUUGUUUCAUUCAAUCUAACUUUGGUUUAUCUUAGUACAUUAAUUUUAUCUUUUUAUCUGUUAAUUGAUAUCUUUAAAUAUGUCUUUAGUUUCUACAAGAAAUUAAUUUACAUUAAUAUAACUUACACCAAUAUACUUAUAGAUAAAAUAAUAUUUUCUAAAAAGAGCUUAAUUUAAUCAAGAAAAAAGAAGACCAAUUUAUAUGUGUAAUUUAUCAUUAAGAAUAUAUUAAUGUGAAUCAAAUAAAGAAUGAUAUAUUUAAUUGUUCCGGUACUGUCAAUAAUCGAGGUCAAUAAUAUUUUAUAUACUCCUUCAUUCAAUUCAUUAAGGUGUCUUUUGAGGAUAAAAUCGUAAUACUUCAAAUACGAUGAUUGAUCCUAACAUACUUCUCGUUUCACAUUAUUUAAGAACCGAGACCAAAGAUAAUUGAUAUACUCUUUUUCUCCCUUAAUCAUUCGUGGUUUUAUGAUAUCCAAAAAAAAAAAUCAUAUUAGUAAAUGUUCCUACAAAUCUAGAACUUUGUAGAACACUUCUUCCAGUUGCAAUCUCCUCGUCUUUUCGAUCUCUCGGGUAGGCUUCUUUCGGUUGAAUUUCCUCUAAUUUGAACACGAUGGAGGAUGUGCCUGAGAAGACACUCCGAUGAUAAAUUAAGUUCAAGAAUUAGGUAUCAGGAGAGUAGGGAGUGAACAGUUACCUCGAGUGUUGUGCCUCUCCCUUUAUUUAUACUGUUAUGGAUGGAUUCUGGCUGUUAUGGAUCUGCUUUGAGUCCAGUUGGAAGCCCAAUUACACCUUAACCAUGUUUUGCAUUUAAUCUGGUUUAUUCUUGUCUAAUUACGUAUUUGACUGUAAUCUUGUUGGCUAGUCCGUCAAUCGUAAUACAGUAAAGAAUAAAUGAAAUUUAUGUCCAAUUUCAUGAAACAAUUUUGAGAAACAUGUAAAAAAGAUUAAAAAAAAAAAAAAAGGAAUCCGAUUCAUUCCUCCACUACUUAGUGCAGGAGGAACAAGAAAGAAUUGGGGGAGAAAAACAAUAGAUUAGACUAUAUGGGUUGAAAAUGGGCACUUCAAUUUUUUCUUACUUUGUUGUCAUUCGUCAACAAAGUAUUACAACUAAUAGCAGUUAGGUUUCAUUGCAUAAUAAUAGUUGUUUGCACUCACAUACAAAGUAAUGGUAACAAUCAUUGUUUGCAGUCGAGUUUAAUAUUAUUUUUAAGUUUUUAAGAUUAUUUUAUUCUUAAAUAUACUUUUAAGGGUAAAUUUACCACUUAAUUAGAUAAUAUUUAUCAUUAAAUUAUAGUAUGGAAAUUGAAUUGAAUAUUUAGCAUUGAGAAACUAUUUUUUUAACAACUAAAUAGGCAACAUGUUGAAUAUCCUGCUCCCAAAAUCGAAAUAUCCGAUAUUGAAAAUACUAAGAUUAAUUAUCUCAAAAUUGGAAACCUCCUAAAUGAAAAAUUCAUUAAAACAAAUAAAAGACAUUUAAUCAACACAAAUCUAAUCAAGAAAAAAUUACUUAAUUUUAUAAAAGUCAUAUUAAUCUUAUAAAAAUGUUCAUAUUUACUAUAUGCUGAGUUGAAUUGUUUUUAAAUAAUGAUACGCGUGUGAAAAAAAAUAUGAUUUUUUUUUUUAAUAAUAUUGACUAAUAAGAUCUAAAGUUUCUUAGAAAUGUUUGAAGAAGUCAAAACAACCUCCAACUUACAUCUCUACAUCAUAAAUAUAAAUAAAUAUUGGCAAAUGUUUCUUGUAACAUAUCAAUUUCAACAUAACCCAACCUAUUAUUAAAAAUGACAAAAAUGUCCUUCUAAAAUAACGAAAAUAAUAUUAAGAAAAGAAGGGUGUAAAUAAAAAUUAAUUUUGAACCCUUUUAUUCAGACAAAUUCUAAUUUAGAUAUCUCACUAUAAGAAAAUCAUGAAAUAAAAAUCAAUUUUUAGACACCAAAAUAAUGAGUUGCAAUAGAGACCAUUUUAGAAACUAAAAAAAAAUGGUUUCUAAAUUAGUUUUUAUUAUUGUUAAAUAGUUUCUAAAUUGGUAUCUAAUUAGCAACCAAAGUUUUAGAGAGCAAAUUUAGAAACUAAAUAAUUGGUAGUUAAAACCUUGGUCGCUAAUUAGAUACCAAUUUAGAAACUAUUUAACAGUAAUAGAAACUAAUUUAGAAACCAAUUUUUUAUUUAGUUUUAGUUUCUAAAAUGGUUUCUAAUUUAGUUACUAUUGAAAUUAAUUAUUUUGGUAUCUAAAAAUUGGUUUCUAUUUCAUGAUUUUUAUUGUAAUGUCUAUAACACAUUUUUAAAUUUCAAAAAUUUUUAUCCAAAAUGCAUUUUUAAUUUUGUGUUCCGGAUUUUUUUUAUCUAGAAUGUAUAUUUUUUAUUUUGAAUUAUAUUUACUAUUCCAGAUUUUUAAAUCUGGAAUAAGGUAAUUUUGGAAAUUUCAAAAAGUGAUAGGUGCAGAUUAGAAUUGAUACGGUGCAAGAAGAAAUUGUGAUAAAUAUUCUAUGUAAGCCCAUUGAUCCAUUAACAAAACAAACUCUUUAGUAGGCUUUUAGUGGGCUCAAUUGGCCAUGAGGAGGCCCGAGUAGAACAGAGAACCCUGUUUUUGUACAUCAGAAAAACUUAAGAAUAGAACAGGAAACAAAACAAAAGACGCUGCCUAUGGAAAAGUGACCAUAAAUCCUAGCAAUGGCAAACCACUUCGGUUACUUUAAUUACAACUCCAACUAAAAGAUUCAGUGGUAAAACACUAGAAGAGACAGUGACAAGUAUGUUGCUUGGAGAUCUCACAUUCAAUUAGAAUAUUUUAUAAAUCGGUGUAAAUUUCAUCUUAUAAGUCAAUUUUAUAAAGUUGAAUUAGACUUAAAGUUUAUUUUUAUAUAAUGUUCUAGUCAACUUAAGGUCGGUCGGAAUCUGGAUGAGCAAGACCUUCUAGAAAUGAGAGGGACUCUUCCUGCGAUGACACUCCGACGCUCAAGUCAGUAAGAGCAUAAAUAUGAUGAGUACAAUAUGAAAUAGGAGUUGAGAGUACUCCUUGUGUUGUUUAUUAGAUGAUGAUGAUUAGAUCAUAUAUUAGAUGAUCUUUGUUGUAGAGCGUAAUAUGGUAUAUAUAAAUCGAAUUGUAACAUCUCCACCUUUAGUCAUGAUUAUACCUUAAUUGAGUAAUUAAAGUUAAUUGAUUGAGAUCCCUUGAAUUGUGCUCCCUCAUAAUGUUAGAUACAUAGGUCGGGAAACAACCCAUAAAUGACCAAACAUCAGACUACACCCAUGACCUAAUAAUAUAGUAUGAGAGUCAAUCUAAAUAUACCUUAGAAAAAUUUGUUAAACUUAUUCGAACUCGUGUUAUCAAAUCAUUAUUAUUAUCAGACCAUCAACAAUAUAACAUUCUCGUAUAUAACAACGAUUUCAAAAACAUGUCUCGAGUCAAUAAAUUUAUGUACUAUAUAAUUUCAUGUGUAUGUGCUUUUACACAAUCAAACAUAUCUAUCUUUGGAUCUCCAAUCUUAUAAACACAAAAUUGUGACUGAAAAAAGAGAUUUCUUUAAAAAUAAUUAGUCAAUUUUUUACAAGAAUAAUUAUUAAUAAAAUCAAUUGAUAUUUCCUAACAUAUUAUGGCCGCACAAGAGGCCUAAGACUCUAUAUAUAUUUGCUCGAGCUUGAAACAAAAAAGUGUUGAACUAAUAAUGUCAGCUCUUCAUUUGAUCUAGGGACUUUUCUUAGUUAUUACCAUGCAAAUCAUACGGAAAAAAAAAUAUCAAACAGAGGAAAUAAAUUGGUAAUAAAAGUUUUUUAUUAAUUAUACACUUGGAGCAGCUUUCAAACCCACAAAAACAUUACAGUAUUUCACAGAAUUUGAAAAAAAAAGAACGUUAAAGACUUCAAUGACCUCGCCCUCUGUGACUAGGUCCAGAAUAAGCCCGAUUGAUGAAUAAAGCAAUGAAGGAAGGUGAAGAAUAUUGAUCUUUGAGAGAUUUUCUGGCCUCAACAUAGUUGGAGUAUGAGAGCAAGAGCACGAAGAGGGUGAAAAAUGCCACUACAAGAGAGUAACCCUUCAUUUUUGUAGCUGCUAACUACCCUCUUAAUCUGCACAGAUAUACCAAAAAAUGACAAGUACUGAUCCAAGAUUAAUGUCAUAUUUAUAUAUUGGAUGUGUGCGUGUGAAGGUUGAAAACAAAGACAUUUUUGUGUCUUACUUCGGUUUUGUGGGGACCUAGGUAUGGUAGCAGAAUUUGAAGGUUAUCAGUAUUUGCAGUGAAUUGAAUUAGAUAUAAGACUGAAGAUAAAAUAAUUUAUAGUCUUCAAAUAAGACUCGGUAAAAGGUGUGGAAAACAAAAGUUGUCCAUGUUUUUCAAAAACCAAGUUAACAUAGUUUACAAUAUCACGUGUCUUCUUCUUUUAGGUUUAAAUACAUACAUAAAAAACAAUAUAACUCACGUUACCAUGAAGUCAUGCAUUAAUCUUAUCUUGGGACAAUGCCUUUAUAAAUACUUAUCAUGUAGCCACACACUGUUUUCUUCUUCCACUUCCUCCAUAAAGAAUAAGAAUGCUAAAACUAGUCCUGCAAAGAAUAUAUAUCUAUUUUUUGUUGUUGUUACAUAGUCCAAAAUGAGAAGUGAAGUGAAUUCUUAAUUGGUAUUGGAAAAGACUGGGAAUUGAGUUUGAAUUGGUCUGUUGUUUACUCUCAGCAUUUUCAUAGAUUGAUCAACAUCCCCAGUCAUUGGUCUAACACCAUCUCAGCAGUCUAUAUAGGCUUCAGACUCAGAAUCCAUUCUCAUAUCUAUACAUUGCCAUUAUUCAUAUAUGUAUAUAAGUCAAACAUGACAGACAAUAUUGACAUAAUGACAUUCAAAACAAUUCUUUUAAGCAAACUACUUUUAGGUCAAUUCAGUAUUCACAUCUGCAUUUACACUCAAUCAAUGAAUUGGUUAAAACCAAUCCAAAUUGACUUAGUGGCUGCUGACUCCUGAGGAUCAAAUUUCUUGGCUUCACGUUGCUACGUAUCAGUUUCUGAUGUCAUGCAGGAGAAAUGUGUAAGAAUGGUUAUUAUUGAAAACUGCAGCAGACAUCUCAGCAAGAAAGCCACUUUUGAAGUAUGUCUGUGCAUUUAAUUUUUAAUUUGACUCAAAUUUGUAUUUAUGGUCCCAACAUCACUGCCUUUCACUUAUUGAAUUAAUCUUCUUUCUUUUGUAUGACUAAACCGAGUUCAUCUUGCAUUGAGUAAUAUCUACCAAAUUUCAUAUCAUCUGCAAAAUUCCAUGUCAUGGAAUAUAAAUUGAAGAGCAGCAUGCAGCAUGAAGCAUGAAUCCAAAUAUUUUGUAUCCUAUAACUUUUUGAAUGAUCGACAGAAGUUUUUUAAAAAUCUUGUGAUCAUAUUAUAAUUGAUUUAAAUUUGUAUUACUCUAUUGAUCACCUUACCUACUACUUUUAAAAAGUUUUCCUUAAUUAAAUUAAAUUCAUUGCAUUGUUAAGGUAUCAAAGAAAAAAGUUGUCUAAAAAACAAGACAAUUUGGCGUUAAUGAAGGCUAACUUUGUAAUCAAACUAAAGUACUAAAGUACUUGUUAAACUGUUAUGAAAUUCAUAAUAAAUAAAUAAAUAUUUUAAUCAUAUCAGACAAGAAAAUCAUAAAAUAAAAACCAAUUUUUAAAGACUAAAAUAAUUAGUUAAAAUAGUAACUAAAUUAGAGACAAUUUUAGAAACUAAAUAAAAAAUUGAUUUCUAAAUUAGUUUCUAUUAUUGUUAAAUAAUUUUUAAAUUGGUAUCUAAUUAGCAAUCAAGCUUUUAACUACCAAUUAUUUAGUUUCUAAAUUUGGUUUCUAAAAUCUUGAUUGCUAAUUAGAUACCAAUUUAAAAACUAUUUAACAAAUAAUAAAAACUAAUUUAGAAAUCAAUUUUUUUGUUUGUUUUUAAAAUGGUUUUUAAAUUAGUUACUAUUGCAACUAAUUAUUUUGGUCUCUAAAAAUUAGUUUCUAUUUCAUAAUUUUUUUAUAAUGUACAUUAAUUAUUUUUAAUUUACAAUAAAUAAUUUAAAGUGUGAUAAUGAUCAUUUUAAUUGUAUUUAAUUUUAAUUUAGAAGUAAAGAUAAAGUAUUGUAGAUUAAAUAAUUUAGAUAAAGAAAAAAAUGGAGUGGAUAUCUAGGUGAGAGUGUAGGAAGGAAGAACUUAACGCUUUUUUCACGCAACUUUUACAUUUUCGAAAAUAUAAAAAUGAAAUUUAUAUUUCUCUGUUUAUCAGAAGAUUAUAAAAAUCAUGUAUAUUUUUGGAUAUGUUUUGUUCUCAAUAAACUACAUCUCUUUAUCUGUAUAAUUUUUAUUGUUGUGUUAAGGAAUGAGUAAAUGAUAUUUUUAUGGGUGACUUUAUAACCUCCAGUACAAUUUUUAUUUAUUUUAUAUUUUAAUUAGUUUAAAAUUUAGAAAGUAUUCUUGGAAAUAUAAAAAAAAAAACUAACCAAAAAUAUUUUUAGACAUGCCUAGGAAUAAAUUUUCAAUUAUAAUAUUUCUAUCCAUUACAUUAUCAAGAAUAUAAAAUCUUGAAACAAACAUUUUAACCAUAAGAAAAGAACUGAAGGUUUUUCAUUAUAAUUUACGUGCUUUAAUUCAUAAUAUAAAAGUAUAUGAAACAUAUUUUGGGUUUACACGGACUUUAAAAAAGGAAUAGGACUGUUCCUUCUUGCAAUUCCAUAAGUUUUCAAAUUUCCAAAAGUGUCUCUUUAUAAUAUUUCGGAUUACGUAAUUCGGAAGUCAUUUUUUAAAUUUGUAAUUAGCUACCGGAUUACAUAAUCCAAAAGUCAUUUUUUAGAUGCAUGAUUAUUCUUUGGAUUACAUAAUCCGGAAACUACUCUAUGGGAGUGACACAAGAAGGACAAAAAUGUAUUUUCAUGUUGUGUAUGGAGGUGGCAGAAGAAGAUAUGGAGGUGCAGGAAGAAACAGUCAUGGAAUAGAUAUAUAAUUAAGACGAAAGAUGGGCUCAGUCUCGUCAUGAAAGAUGGGUUUAUCUGCACAUUAGGCCCAUAUCAUUAGAGAAAGCCUAAUAACUUUUUUAAUUGACUUUACAAGUAAUGGGCUUUCGGUGUGUUGUCUUUUUCUGAGCUUUUUCUUUCUGCACCCAACCAAUUCUAACCUGAACCUAUCAAUUUUUGAAAUUCUAUAAUUCUCCUGGAAUUGAAAAUUCAAAACUGAAAAAUAUAUUCUGGAAAAUAUAUUCUUUUUCAUUCAGAAAAUGAAAUUUUAGAACAAAAUUGAAAACCCAGAAAAGUCAAAUCUAAAAUACAAAUAAUACAUUCUGAAAAAAAAAAUCUAGAAACAUAUCUGCAAAAAAUAUUCUAGAAAAUAAAAAUCUAGAAGCAUAUUCUGGAGAAAUUAUUCUAGAAAAUUGUUUUAUAAAUCCAAAUCCACGAUUGUAUUCUGGAAUACCAAAUUAUUAAUAUAUUUAUCAUUUCCCCUCACUAAUAGAGUGCAUGUUCAAAUUUUUGGGUGCAGGAAUCAAAACUGUUAUUUUCAGUUCAGUAAGUCGAUUGUUAUAAGGCAAUUUUUAAAGCUUGUUACCAAUUAUUUUCAACUAUGUAUAAUUCAUAUUAAUAUCAUGAUUAAAAAAUUAUUUAAAGCUGAGUACUCUUUUGCAGAAAAAAAAAAGUUAGUAUGAGAGUGUCAUGAUUUUUUUUUACAAAAAAUUUAAUAACUAUUUUUUUAUUUAUAUGGGUCAGCAAGUAAAUUUGUUCCUGCUAUUAACCCGCGUGGGUUGCGGGUUAUAUAGAGCGGAUCAAAACGGAUUAACGGAUUAGAUUAUUAAACUCGCUUUGCAUUUUUUGGUAGCGGCUCACGGACCCACCCGCAUGACCAACUCCGUAUUAUCACCCUUAAUUCGCACUAAUUAACCUAAUUCAGCUAUAAAAAAAAACUUACUAAAGGUGUUAACAUGUAUUGAAAACUCUAAUAUUCCUAUUAAAACAUGUUAAUUUGUUGAUCAAUUUACACCAUCAACGAAUUUUUACAUAAUAUGAUUUUUCAAUCUAAUAAUUUUUUCUAUGUUUACUGCUUGUGAGAAUUUUUUUAUCAAAUUUUGGAAAAUAUAAAUACAAAACUACAGAAUUUUAGUUUUAUAUAUUUAGAAAGUGUGUAAUACAUCAAUUGUGUAAAAAAAGAAGAAGGAAGUAUCAAACUAUAUAAUGAGUUCGUAUGGAAUUUGUAAAUAAGAUCUAUAUGAUGAGAACUCUCAAAUUCAAUCCAACUGAAAUAUUUUGAUAAAUUUAUUCAAUAAAAAAAUUUAGAGAAAAACUACAAAAAUCUCAAUGCAAAAUACGAUAUCAAGGUAAUUAUAAAUACUUAGCUCAUUGUUCUACAAGAAAAGUAAAUGAUAGAUUUAUAAAUAUAUAAUCAAGAAUGAAAUUUGGAGCAAGGAACAUGAUCAACUAUUUAUAUAUAGUUGUGGAGAAAUAACAUUUCACCAAAGGUUAAGGUAUGGAAAGUAAUGUUUAUCAGAGAAUCUUAUACCUUGACAUUCAACUCUUUUACUAAGUCCACUAAACGACCAAUAAUAAUAUUAUUUUAAUCAUUUUUAUAUCAUUUAAUUAUAAAUUUUGUUUUUUUAUUUAAAAUUUACCCUUUUUUUUCUAAAACUAACAAAUCAAAAGUCGUUAAACUCUAAGACAUGUGAAAGUAUAGUUUUCCUUAAGGAAAAUACUAACCAAGAACAUUUUGUUUAAAAGAAAAGUGUUGCAAAUCCACUAUGAAAAUUGACUCACGGGUGUCUUGUUCACUUGUUCUAAACCUUACAAUAUAUGGGAAGUGUUGCACGUGGAUAAACAUGAAUGUUGUACUACAUAGUAUUCCAAAAAUUUAUUAUAACCAAAACUAUGUUUCCUGGUUCAUGUUUAAGAAAAUAGAAUGGGAUAUCCUCUUAUUUGUUGUUGUCUAUAGUUUAUAUGGAGGUAGAAAAAAUUAUUUGUUGUUAAGAAGUGGACUUUAGGCCUAACUCAACCCCAUAAAAUCGGCCUAUAAAACCAGUUCAUAGGAUUGAGGAUUACACCUACUUAUAUACAAUGAAUUGUCCUCAUCUUUAGUUGAUGUGGGAUCUCCAUCACACCCCCCUCACGCCGAGAGUGAUAGAUAGAAGCUCGUGCGUGGGAUAACAUAUUAUGGGUGGUGGUCUGAUAAACCCAACAAACACUCUCGGCAUGAGGGGGUGUGUUGGAGAUCCCACAUCGACUAUAUAAGUGGGUGCAAACCUCAACCUUAUGAGUCGGUUUUAUGGGGUUGAGUUAGGCUUAAAGUUCACUUUGUAAUAUGGUAUCAGAGUCAUUUCGAGCCUAUCCUAGCAAGUAUUUGUUGGGUUUAUCAGGCCACCAUCCAUGAUAUGUUAUCCCACGCACGAGCUUCUAUCUAUCACUCUCAGCGUGAGGGGGUGUGUUUGAGAUCUCACAUCUCAUAGAGAUAAGAACAUUUCAUUGUAUAUAAGUGGGUGUAAACCUCAAUCUUAUAAAUCGGUUUUAUGGGAUUGAGUUAGGCUUAAAGUCCACUAUGUAAUAUUUGUGUUCCAAGAUAAGGGAUUUUAUGAAGGUAAUCCACCAAGUCAAGUUCCUUAGUAUGGACAAUGAGAUGAAUCUCACCAACUCUCCACGGGAAAAAAAAACUCAUAACUUUGUUUUCUUAUAUAAUUUUUCUCAAUGACUCAGAAACUUAAGGCUACGUUAUUGAAGGUGGGAGAAGAUGACGUAUAUUAUCUGAAUAUUCACUAAUGGUCCCACGAUAAAUAAGUGUAUUUUAGUUUUCUAAUUUUGUGUGUGUGAAUGAAACCUUUGUUUUGAGUGUUUAUUUUUACACGGUAAACAAGUAGAGUAUAACCAAUCUUUUUCAGAACGACCUUCACUUUUAUGUUCCCAAGUUGUAUACAUUAAUUGAUAACUCUUGCACCAAUUUUAGUACAUGUUUCUAUUGCUUGAGUUAAAAAAAAACAUUAAAUGUAUUAUUUACUAGAUCAAAUACUAAAGAGAGAGAAAAGAUAGUUAUAAAUGAGAAUGCAUUGUUCUAUAGUUGCAAUGAGUUGUUGUAGUACAAAAAACACGCGCACCCAGGUCAAAAAAGCAAGGUAAUUAAUAACUCCAACAGUAUGCUUAGUUUAAAACAAAUUCUGCAUAGAUUCAUAAAUAAAAACAUACACAAUUAAUUUCCCCAAAGUUACAACUUACCACCAUCUCUUCAAUUCAUCGUUUUCAUCUUCUCCACUCUUUUUCUUCGAACACCGUGUCCAUCUUUAAACAUCGAAUAUCUUUCAAAUUCCAUUCUUCUUCACCAACUUUCCACAGUCCUAAUAUUAACGAUUUUAUGUACAAAUGUAGCAAUUUUAUCACUUCUUGCUUACUCUCAGUUUUGAAAAUAAUAGUUAAAGAGAAAUAUCUUUUUUAAAAUCAAACAAUCAAAAUGAAACUGAGAAACAAUAAUCCUUUCUUCCGAUUCUAGGAGAUGAAUCGGCACGGUUUCUUCCGGUUCUAGGAGAUGAAUCGGCACGGUGGAAGUCAUUGUUCCGACCUCAAGUCGGUCCGACCUCAAGUCGGUUGGACAACCACAUUGUUAGGGUUAAUCACCGUAUUCGAGGUAUUUCACUUUGAAGGUCAGUGUUUCGUCACGGUUUUAUCCUGAAAAUACGCAUUAAGGGAAUAUAUAAACUCUCAAUUCUUAAGGGAAGUGAAACUAUUUUGCCAUUUGGAUUCUUCUCCUUUUAGAACUGCAUUUCAUGUUAACCUUUCUUUCAAUCAUCUAAAAUUUCCAUUCAUUUGUUUUUGCGUGAAUAUAAAUUAAUACAAUGCAAAACGUUAAAGUGAAAAAUCUAGAAGAAACGAAGGCUAACUAACUACUUAUUAACGAAAGAAGAAAGUGCGUGAGUGUAUAGAUAAUAAGAAACAAAGUAAAAGAUGCAAAAAUCACAAAUGGUGAUUUGGCCUAUAUUAACUCCGAUAUCACACUCAUACCAAUGAAGUCACGAUCACGCGUAUUGCACCAACAGUGACGAUUUUGCACCACCAUUAUUUUGUACAAGACUCCAAACACAACCACAAAAAACCCCGUCACAUAUGACGACACCUACAAUAAAAUACGCUAAUACGAUUGUUUCAAUGAUGUUGUUUAUGUAAACAGAGGUGAAAUUUUAAGGAAACCAAAGAGUAGAUUAUUGUGUGUUAUGGAAUAUAUAAUUUGAUUAGCGAAAUUUACAGAGAAAAUAUAUAAUAAGGAAUCCUAGAGUCCUAGUUGAGGGUUGAAGGCCACACAUCCCUAAAUCCUAGAUAAAAUAUUUGGUUGGUUCCUUGUAUAGAAUAAUGAUAAUAUAUAGAUAUAGAUGUCCUGACAAAAGGACCCCCAAAAGAGAUGUUACAUAUUUAAGGACAAAAUCAUGACCUCUGAUUUGUACCCCAUGUGUGAACUUUGAACCACUCUUGUUAAUUGUUAUCACUCUUUUCCAUUUCCUGCAGUUUACCUCCUUAACCAUCCAUCUCCAUAUAAGCUGUCAUAUUGAGUACAACUCCAAUUUGGGCAGACAUAGGAACCCAUUUCCCAAAAGGCUACAAAUUUUGAAAAGGAUUCAUUCAUCUUCGUUUCUUUUCACUGCUUGCUUGAUGAUGGUGAAACCUUCUUCCCUAUUGCACCAGGUGACCAGAAAUCAGCACCGUUGCUACUCGCCACGUGUACGGUGCAUCCCACAGGGAUCAAGCACAGACCCCUACUCCUCAACUCCUUCUUCACUUCCUCUUCAUUGUUUUCUCCGUCCCCCUGAAAUAACGCACACACAACAAAUAUCUUCAGUCAUCAAGAGUUACCUUAAAUGGCAAAGUGUCACAGUGUUGACUCUGUUCAGUCACCCAAAACCAGCCUCAGCAUUUUCAAGUAAGGUGAUAUAUGUGCGCUAUUGUCCCCAUCAAGCGGGCCCUGCACUCACACCUUUUCUAGAUUUUGUUUCCCAGUAAUAAAUCAUAGGAUCAAGGUUUUUAAAACACGCAAUUGCAUCCACAGUAUCGGGGUUUUGCUUUUGCAACCACAAUUGUCACUGCAUUUGUCUACCGUUUUUCAUAAUGUAAAAGAUUGUGACAAAAAUUUGGCUGUAAUUGUGACAUCAGUUGCAUUUACCAACAGUUUUUCACAAAGUCAAAGAUGGAGACAGAACCAUGAAUUGAAUUAAAACCUUUGCAAAAUAAAGAAGAAUGUGAGAAUGAUGAGAGAUGGGAUGGGACUCACGUGCUGGUGUUGGUCUGAGGAAGACAAAGUUUGCAAGUAAGGAGAGCACAGGACCUGAACUUGGUCAUGAAGAAAUCUUAUAUAGCCCAUGGCCUCGUGAAGCACUGAUGCUGUAUCUGUCUGCACAUGCAGUUGUGAUCAACAUUCAAAAAUGUCAAUUCAUCAUACACAUUGAGCACACAAAUUUACAAAAUUCAAACUUUAACAUGUUGGCUACCUUGCCGAAGGGAGAAACAAGCUGUUGUAACGCUGCGAUUCGUUCCCCGAGCUUCUCCUUCCUCUGAUAUUCCAAAUAAUUUCGUCAAACUACAUGAAACUAUAUAUGAUACAAGACAAUGAUAUAAAACUUUUUAAAAAGCACACGACAUUUUUUAUCAGAAAACGACAGGCCGUGGGUCUGUGCGUUGGAAAAGUUUAAGUUCAAAGUGAAGACAGAAAAGAAAACGACAUGCAAGCAAUCCAUGGUUGAUUUUCCUCACCUUUGCAUGUCCGGUUGAGGUGGGGUUCUCUGCUUUGGUCUUCUUAGUUUGUCUUUGGCCUCCAACACCAACCUUGGUCACUGGCUCUUGUCCCAACCCAUUCCGCUUUUUCUGCAAACUCUUCAACAAAAGACAAAAUGAAAAAAAAAAAUAGUAUUGGAACAACACCACCAUGACUAUUCCCCAGCCCAGUUGCCAACCAAGAAAACAGAGACAAAGUGCGACAUACAGUGGACUUGGGUAGGGAAUUGAAGCCGGUGUUGGUGUAGUUGGAGGAGGAAGCAGAAGAGGAAUCGCUGGAAGUGAUGACAGAUUUCUGAGGGGUGACGGUGGUGGGAGGAAGCGAAAGGUGGGGUUGGUUUUGAUGGUUUCCAAAGCAUAGCAUUUUGGGUGGCUUGUGAAAGGAGAAAAGUGGCGACCGGGAAAGGUUGUUGUGAUUGUAAGAGGAGUGGUCCUGAGGAAGAGGCAAUGCAGUGGCAUCGUGGUGGUCAUGGUGAUGGUGAUGGUCAUGGUCAUCUCCGAAUAGUAACUGAGAAAAAGUGGUCCCUGUGGGUGCAGUGAAAUGGUGGAGUUCAAAUUCGUCCUUGGGCUCCAUGGAAAAGGAGUUGGAAAUGAAAUGAAUGGGAAAGAGAAGGCGAAAGAGAAAAGAGAGGGUUAUGGGAGAAAGAGAGGAACAAGUGUCAAGUGUGAAAGAGGGUGGGAAGACAUAUGUAAAUGUUUAUGUGGUUACAGUAGAAAUUGGUAAAGAAAAAUGUUAGAGAGAAAGCAAAAUGAAAAUGAAAAUGAGAGAGAGCCAUGGGAUGGGAUGGGCUGGGUGGGGUGUGGGGAAGUGGGUUCUUUCCGAGAACGGCUUCGGUUUUCGGCAACCAAUGGUCAAAGCCACCUGGCCCGAGAAAACCGUGUUUGAGCCCUCCAACGCCUUUUUUCCUCUCACCGCUUCCACUUUCCUCCAACCUCUUCUUUC
rnacentral:lncRNA from 1 species